AAAAUAAGGAAAUAAUAAGAAGCACAAUCGCGGCCCGUUUUUUCGCUUCCUUUUUUCUUUUUUUCUUUUUCUAAUUCCCUUUUCUUUUUCAAAAUC
rnacentral:ribozyme from 1 species